CCAAAAGUGGUUGGCAGCCAAGGAGGUAAUGGGAAUAGAAGGUUUUUUUGUUGUUCUUGUUCUUGUUGAACUCUUUAAGCAUAUAAUGGCACAUCCUUCAUUUUCAGGUAUGAUGGCAGAUAAGGAUGCAGUCAGGGUUCAUGCAGGAGACCAAAGGGAGGAGAGUGCAAGUUCAGUCUCACUCCCUACUCGUCAAAUGUGUGACGCAUGGCCAAGGAUCCCUGGCGUCAAUUUCCAACGAAAAAUGUACGAAAGGAAAUCAAUGUCCAUCGGAGAUGACGUCACAUUAUGUGACUAUUGACUAUAAAUAAGAAUGCGACGAUCCCAAGGUUAUUUCGCUUCUCAACUCCAAUAGAUCCAGCGAAAAGAAGUAUACUUCAAGGACCCGGAUGUCGUUCUCAAAACGGGCUAAUCCUGAAGUGUGGAUCGAAGAACACUUUCCGUACUCAACGGCAGCAAUCUUAGCUACGUAGCGGAAGAGGCGGAACCAGGCUGAGCCAAAGUCGGCGCAUUUUCCACAUAGACUGCAUUCAUUUUGUAGUUUUUAUAGGUACUCAUCUUGCUUCUGGAAACAUUGGACCCGAAGCUUGUAUGUGUUUUAAUUAUGUUUGUAUUAUAAUUGAUAAUGCCUCAUUUGCAUUCCUUCUUAAAUGUUUUAUAUUGUUUUGUGUGUGUGUGUGUGUGUGUGGUGUGUGUGUGUGUGUGUGUAUUUAUAUGCGUAUAUACAUAUGUGUAUGUGUAUAUAUAUGUAGUGUGCUGUCUAUGUGGACCUUCCUGUGUCUUGAAUAAAGUUAUAAUAAUAUAGCUGAUAGGCGUAAAGAGUUUAUUGGGGG
ensembl:lncRNA